rnacentral:misc_RNA from 1 species
AUUUGAUUAUUGUUAUUAUUAUCAAUGAUCAACAUAACAGAAAAUACAUUCCCAGGAAUUCUACUGUGCAUCACUGCCAUUAUAACAGGAAAGCGCAUUGCUUUCUAAUUCUACAAGACAAGCAAGUUGCAAAAAUUAAUGAACAGAACAUACAUGAAUCAUGAAUUUGCUUGUUUAAAUAUAAUUUUACUACGGAUUAGAAGGCCAUCAUCAUCCUG